GAUGAACGCUAGCUACAGGCUUAACACAUGCAAGUCGAGGGGCAGCAUGAAUUUACUUCGGUAGAUUUGAUGGCGACCGGCGCACGGGUGCGUAACGCGUAUCCAACCUUCCCGUUACUCCGGGAUAGCCUUCCGAAAGGGAGAUUAAUACCGGAUGGUGUUCAAGUGGUGCAUAUUAUUUGAACUAAAGAUUUAUCGGUAACGGAUGGGGAUGCGUACCAUUAGAUAGUAGGCGGGGUAACGGCCCACCUAGUCACGAUGGUUAGGGGUUCUGAGAGGAAGGUCCCCCACACUGGAACUGAGACACGGUCCAG
rnacentral:rRNA from 1 species